ensembl:lncRNA
AGAAAUAUUGGUACCCCAAAAGUAAAGUGGUGCAGUGCAGAAAGCAUAGACCAGGCAGUGAGCUAAUGGAGUCACCAUGCUCUCAUUCAGCACUUCGAACAGCCCUGGUUUUGGCAACAGCCACCCUGAGUGUGAAGUCACAACAAGGACACAGCUGUUUCCUGAAAGCAGCAAAGCAGAAUGGGUGAGGAUUCCUCUUACAGGAAUAUUCACAACUGUUCACACUCAGCUUCCCCAGAUGUGCCCAGAAACCAAGACCAAGGGAAGCACACGCAAGCCAGGGGAGCAAGAAAGCAACAUGUGAACGCUCAGGAUGGAGUUGUGUUUGAUGUGUCACCACCAAGGGACUCCUCUCUGGUUUACACCACCGACAAAUGGACCCUACCCCCACUUAGGUGUCUGCUGCUGAACUGAACCGUCAGGGUGGAGCAUAAAUUAGUCUGACGAACCUCUAAAAGGAAUCAAGGCUAAAGGACACAAAUGGAUGCAUUAAGCUCAUUAAACUGUUAAGCACCAAGUGAAAACCAUAAAUCGCUCAAAUGCAAAUUACAGGUAGGUACAGAAAGCAGCCAUUCCUGAGCGUGCCUCUGUCCCAUCAGAAAUGUCACAGCAUUCUCCAGAAAGAUCAUUUUCCCAGCUUCAGCUGUCACAGCCGUGACCCCUUGCCUUCCAGGAGCCACUUACUGGCCCUGUGAAGGACACAGAGCAAAGCAAGGCAAGCCUGGAUUCCAAGAUCAGCCUGGUUCCAUCCCCAGAUAAUGAAGUUCUAUCUCCUUCUGAUCCUCCCAUUGUAUCUCCUGGGAGUCUGUAUCCUGCUAUAGGAAAAUGACAAAGCUGAGAGAAUCCCAAUCCUUCCCAGGGUGGGUUCACACCACCAAAGCUUUGGGAAGACCCUCAUGUUCCCUCUAUCACCGAGCCUGUCAUCUUUGGAGGUGGUGCAGGAUUUAGUGUGCUGCGAGGUCUGCAUCGGACUGAUGGGGAUGGGACUCCUCUGCUCUCUCCAUUUCCUUGCUGACAUGGAAUCUGAAGUUCUGCAGUCCGCUUCCAGCAGGCUUUGGCCUUCCUAUUCCUGGCAUCUUCCCUUAUAGCUUCACCAAAAAGGCAGUUGCAAGGCCUCCAUAAGGAUGAUCACAGUUGGUAUCACCUCAGAAUGCUUCUUGAAGGGAGCCAAGGGUUAAGCUCCUGGGGACAGUUCUCUUCACACCAAGUGGCUCCAUGGGUGGCCUGCUGCCCUCCUGAGGGACCAUUACCCACACACCAGUGCUAGGAAACUCACUGUGCCUUUUACAGCCCACUCCUACUGGUCAUGGGGAGGGGCAGCCCAUCGCUCCCCAGCCCAGGGUGCUGUCUCUGAGCUAUUCCAACAUGGCUGCAGUGCCUCUGCUGCAGGACCCCUGAGCCCUGGCAUCUCCCCCUGUGUUUGCAAGCUCUCCUCUUAACCGAAGACCCUUAGCAGGUCAAGUUGGCUUUGCCUUUUCCCCUUUGUAGUGGACCGUUUCCUUCUAUCACGUCCUCUAAGGCCUCCUGAGGAGCUCUCCAAGGAGUCUGUGAUGUCAAAACACACUGUAAAUCAUUUAUCUGCAGCUUUCCCAAGCAGGAGCCCACAAGUGCUGCCAUGUCCCUCCGGGUCAAUUCCCACCGUGCUAUCAGAGCUGCUCAGUGGGUUCUCAGCCUCCAAAAAUUCCUUCCGCUCUUUCUCACCGCAUUACAGAGAGCACAAAUGGGUGCCAAAAACUGAGCCCUGCAUUCCCCACAUCCUGACUCGAAACAGAUAUCAACAGAGAAUUACACAGGCUGUGCAAUGCGUUAUCCCUGCAGAAGCUUUUCCAUGCCUAUUAGAAGCCAGUCUUCCUACUAAAAAUGUAAAACCAUCUCGGAAAAGGUUGCAUAGAAAUAUCCCAUUACUUUGUAGAGUCUUACGCUGUUCAUAACUCUUUUUUUUAGAUCAACAUAUUGGCAGCUUCUCCUCUAAAAUGAAAUGAUUGCUUGUGAUGAAGCUGUGAUGAAGAAGCAUUUCUACACCCCUCAGUGUGCUGGUAGCAGAGUGCUGCCUCACUCCUACACAUCUCAACUCAGCUGACAAUCUCCUGCCCAGCUGUUACUUUCUCACCCAUUGCACUGUUCCAGCAGCACUACUAUUGAGUAACUCCGGUCCAAAGGAGAAUUCUGUCUGUCCUCCCCUGCAGGUUUUGAAUAGAAGGGUAGAUGUGGCACUCAGGGACGUGGUCAGUGGGUGUGGUGGAGAUGGGUUCAUGUUGGACUUGAACUUAGAGGUCUUUUCCAACCUUAGUGAUUCUGUGAUUCUAUGACUUUUCCAUAUAGAGUGCCUUCAGAGAGCAAUGGCGUUAGGGAAAGGAAGGGAGGCUGAUGAAAAGUCCACAUCUGACCUUGCAAUUGCUUUGAGUCUUCUGUAUCAUGCAAGGAAGCCAACUGACACUGGAGAAGACAAGGAGGGAAGGAGGAACAUAUGACUUACCUCCAAGGAUGCCAGCACAUUUCUGACUCACUGACAAAACUGGUUCUUAUCCAAGGUGUUCUCUGGUGUCACAUUUUUGCAAGACCUUGAGGGCACAUCCUUACACUGACAGUGCUUGGCUGAAGGAAUGUGAGAUCCAUGCUGACUCCACAGGCAGUACUACAGUGUUCCGAAGAAGUGGCUUGGAGUUGCUCUGGUGACAGAGUAACCCAUAUGUUUUAUUUGUAUUUAUAGCAUGGCUUGGGUUGGAAGGGACCUAAAAGAUCACUCCCUUGCCAUGGGCAGGGUUGCCAGCCACUAGAUCAGACUGCCCAGGAGCAAACCUUGUCUGUGCAAAUGGGCCGGUACUCACCAUAACAGGGAAUAAAGCAAAUACUAUCCCACCUGCUGCUGCUCCCACCUGCCUCUGCUUUUCUCCUCCUAUGUCCCUUGCAUUACACAAACCUGAUCCAGCAGCAGGUUCAGAGCUGAUUCUCAGGAUCGAUCCACCAAGAUGUUCCUAAGCAGAAUCAGUCAAAGCCAAGCCAAGCAUCUGCUCACUCUGUCUUUUCUCCCUCAGUGCAAAACUAGGAAUCAUUUGUGCUCUCCAGUAAGAAAAUAAAGAAAUAGAUUUACCUCAUCAGAAAAUCUUUUAAGCUUGUACUGUGCUAAGUAAUGUAAGUCACACUGCCUGGACAGCAUUAAGGUUCCCACAAACCCUCACCUGGCCUUAAGAUGAUGCAAAGGGUUCCUUGAACCUCUUUUAGCACAGCCAUGGACUAACACUAAUAUUAGCAUCAGGAACCAGAGAAGGACUGUUGUGGUUAAAGUUCAUAGCAAGUGAGGGGUGGUGAGUAGAAACAAUACCUUUUGUUAAUCUAAUUGGUGCAUCUCGAGAAAGCAGACAAGCUGUUGGGCACACAGGCUGUUUCUUUCUGCAGCAGAUGCCUUCAGCCUGCUAUUUGGCCUUCAAAUUAAAGUGAUUUUGAGAAGCCAUGCAGAACAUAAUCAGUGGCUAAAUCUGGCAGAAAAACAGGGCUUCCUUGUUUUCCUAAGUUCAUAAGAAAUGCAGGAUGCUUGCCAGGGUGGGGCGUAUAUAUGUGUAUGAGUGUGAUUUGCUGCAGGGAGAGGGAGAAGGCAAAAUAUUUCAUGUUUAUUUUUAUCUGGGGUUAGUGGUGACUCAGAAGGAAGCCAGAAGGAACCUAGACCAACAAACAAACAAAAUUCAGGGUGGUGGAUUGGAUUUGGUGUCUGCAAGUGUUGAGGGAACCUGGCAUUCCUGUUGGUCUCAUGAGUCCCAUGGAGAGUUUGAUGCCCUUGGCUUCUUAUCUCUGAGCCAGCACAGGGCUGGGAAACUCUCCACUCCUAUCACCUAAGGACUGAAGGGAAGACCCCUCCUUACGAUGGGGGAGGUUCACUGCAUGCUGAGUGAAAUAGCUCAGUCAAAACAGACCAACAUUUUUAGACUGAACUUUGUGUUGCUGGAAAGUCUCCCAGAAGCUCUUAGAUUGAGCAGCUACCUUAGAGGAUCUUCAGUUAGUGUUGUAGCCAGUGGAGGAGAAAAGACAAAGAAAAUGCAUGCCUAUAGGGUCUUUAAAGCAAUGUCCGUACAGCUCUGUGCAUGUGGUUGGUCUUCGGAUCUCAAGGUUUUCCCUAAUCCUAAUGAUCCUGUGAUUCUUUGAGUGGGCACGGUGGGGAUGGGUUGGCGGUUGGACUAGAUGAUCUUAGUGUUCUUUUCCAACUUUAAGGAUUCUAUGAUUCUGCACCUUGUGUAUUCUUGUGGGACUUUAGCUUCCUUAAUCAGAGCCAGCGGGUCUUUCCCUUUCCUUCCCUGGGGCUGUGAAGUUUUCAGGGCUGUUCCUUCACCUUCCAAAUUGCAUCAGAUUUCCUCUCCCAAGAGGCCCCAGAGAAGAAGGAAUCUGUGUUCACCUGCCCAUACAAGGUCCACUGACAUCUCCUUGGCAGGCAAGCAGAAGACCAAGGAUAACAUUUAAUCUGUAAUGCAAUUCUUCAAUUAAUCACUUCAUCUGCAAUUAGGCUAAAACAGGCUUAUCAACUACCCGGGUCGGGCCUUUCAUUCCUACUUCCAUCCACCAGUCAUCACCUCAGUCAGACAGAGGGAGCGAUAGGACUUAUACUCCUCAGGGAAAGGAACUCAUUUCUGUAUGGUAAUUAGAGGUGUCAGCAUUAAAAAUGCAGUUGCACUUCCUCUCACAAGCUUAUUGUUUUGAGUGACUCAAUUCAAGUGAAUCCAAUACAGCCUAAUGCGUUUAUUCAUGAUGAUUUUUUCAGAGCUGUGACUGUGCAUGAAACUAUUCCAUCUAUGGAGUGUCCCAUCUGCCCACUUUGUGCUUAUCUGUGAUGCAAAAGCAUAUGAGAAGAAUGCACAUGGCAUUUGGAGAUGGACUAUAUGACCUUUGAAGAUCGCUUCCUACUCAAAUAAUUCUGUGAUUCCAUGAUGACUGAAGGAGUGAAGAGGGUUGCAAAGGGUACCAUGGUUUUGUGUAUUCACAUUGGACCUUCACAGGAUGCUGGGGUCAGACUUGUGCUGUGCUAAGCAUCACAGGGGAAAGCAACCCUUACAUAGGGAAGUUCACUUGGUGCACACCUCUCCAUAUUGGGAGGGCGUGCUCUGAAGGAGAAGGGAGGAGGUCAGGGAUGCACCUCAUGCAGGCUGCCCUCACAUCAGCAUAAGGCACUGAACCCUGGUAUCAAAGGGCAGGUGAUUCAGAGAGGCCAGCAGAUCCUGUAUGUGAUUGUAGGAUAUCUCAUCCAAGAUGAGAGGUGUGAUGAAGUGUUCUUUGUUACUAGUUUAUGUGGAUUAACCAGUGAAGGUUUGGCUCUCUAGUUCUCAUAUUCCUACAUGUGCAUACAGAUAGUCCAUUGCACGUGUUCUGAAUAUAUAACAUCAUGUGUGUUGAACAUUUGUAUCACAUGUACUCAGUACACCCAAAUGUCAGCACAGCUCUGACAUGAGCGCCCAUGGGUACCACAAUUGGCACUGGCAGAGAAGGUGAACCCCUUGUCAGCAAUACCACUUUCCAGCUUUGUGCCACGGACUUCUCCGAGUCAUGUAGUAUUAAUGAUGAGUCUCUUGCUCUCUGAAAUGCUUUUUGCAGUGUGUCCACCCCAAAAGCAGGAAUGAGGCUAACACUGUCCCUGUUCAGGAGCAACCUGAUCCAGCUGUGGCUGUUCAUUGCAGGGCAGUAGGACCAGAUGGCCUUUAAAGGUUUCUUCCAAAUCAAACAAGUCUGUGAUUCUACGACCAAAAUUUCCCAGGUCUGAUGAGAAGACAAGACGUGCCAGCUCUGCCAUUGCUCUCCUGCUGUCACAAUUAAACCUGUGUGGAAAGACUUUGUUAAGAUAAUAACAGACUGAAGCAAACCAUUGAGAGUGUGCAAGUAAAGACUGAAUUAUUGCAAUAGACAUAUUCGCUAUAGAAAUAGUCAAGAACUUCAGGGUAAUUUUCAGUCAUACCUCCCAUGAAUCUUUGUUAGAGGCAACACCAGCAAGAAAUGUAUCAGAGGAAGGAAACCAGAGGAAGGAAACAUCCAGGCUGGAUGUGGCUCUGGGCAGCCUGGUCUGGUGGUUGGCAACCCUGCACAUAGCAGGGGGGUUGAAACUGGAUGAUCACUGUGGUCCUGUUCAACCCAGGCCAUUCUAUGGUUCUAUGAUUCUAUGAAAACGUAUCCUGUAAAUCUUCAUGUUACAGCUCCCUGGAGUUUGCAGCAAGCACAGGUCAAUUUAGCAUAGCUAUUUGUGAGUGACACAGACGACAGCAGCGCAUCCCUCUCUAUUUCCAGUAAUGCCAAAUCAUGAAUCAUAGAAUGGUUUGGUUUGGAAGGGACCUUUAAGGUCAUCGAGUUCCAGUACCUCCCAUUAGACCAGGUUUCUCAAAGCCCCAUCCAGCCUGGCCUUGAAUAUCACAAUUCAAACUAAAUAUAAAUAAACAUAUAAAUAUAAAUAAAUAUAUGUAUAUAUAUAUAUUUUCAAUUAAGCUGUAUCUUUUAAACACAAAGCAUUUAAUCAUAAAACGAUGCCUACAGUAAUGUAGAACAAUAAACCUCUUCUACCAGUAAGAAUUUUACACAGGAAGACUUAUUGUUUGGGAAGGAAAAUAAUGAUUCUCAGCUAUGCCAUCUUUAAAAACAUUCACAUAGGCUUUCAUUGAGUGGAAUUAUUUUAUUAAAAAAAAAACAAAACACAAAAACCCAACUCCUGUUAAAUGUAAUCAUGAUAACUGGUUCAUUAUAACUACUGUUAAAAUUAAUGAUUGAAGAGCUUGCCUCCUUCUUUCUCCAUUUCUUCCUGUGCGUUUAUACUUUUGUUAAGGUCAAAGCAAUUAAGCUUUCCUCUUCUGACAUGGCCAGCUGCCUGGAAGCCCAG